rnacentral:rRNA from 1 species
GACGAACGCUGGCGGCGUGCUUAACACAUGCAAGUCGAACGGAAAGGCCCUUUCGGGGGUACUCGAGUGGCGAACGGGUGAGUAACACGUGGGUGAUCUGCCCUGCACUCUGGGAUAAGCCUGGGAAACUGGGUCUAAUACCGGAUAGGACCAUGGGAUGCAUGUUCUGUGGUGGAAAGCUUUUGCGGUGUGGGAUGGGCCCGCGGCCUAUCAGCUUGUUGGUGGGGUGAUGGCCUACCAAGGCGACGACGGGUAGCCGGCCUGAGAGGGUGUCCGGCCACACUGGGACUGAGAUACGGCCCAGACUCCUACGGGAGGCAGCAGUGGGGAAUAUUGCACAAUGGGCGCAAGCCUGAUGCAGCGACGCCGCGUGGGGGAUGACGGCCUUCGGGUUGUAAACCUCUUUCAGUAUCGGCGAAGCUCCUGGAUUUUUCUGGGGGUGACGGUAGGUACAGAAGAAGCACCGGCCAACUACGUGC